rnacentral:rRNA from 1 species
UACGUAGGGAGCAAGCGUUGUCCGGAAUCAUUGGGCGUAAAGCGCGCGUAGGUGGCCUCAUAAGUCCGUUGUGAAAGUCAAAGGCUCAACCUUUGAAAGCCGAUGGAUACUGUGAGACUAGAGUACGGAAGAGGCGAGUGGAAUUCCUGGUGUAGCGGUGGAAUGCGCAGAUAUCAGGAGGAACACCAAUAGCGAAGGCAGCUCGCUGGGACGGUACUGACGCUGAGACGCGAAAGCGUGGGGAGCGAACAGG